ACCUUUUGUCAUUGUGUCCAUUUCAGUGACACAAGACACCGCAUGGUCUUCUAGAUAAGCUAUUUCAUUCUUUAGUUUCCAAACCCUUUGGUUUUUACUGGUUUAAGUGGCAAUGUAUUUUCCAUUUAUUCUUGUUUUUCAGAUGGGCUUAUCAGUAGCCUAUUCAUUUGAUUACGUGGAUAUCAAAUUACGGUGUGAAGGAGUUGGCGUCUUUACUCAAAUGAAGUGGACGAGGGAGAAACCCAUGGACAAUUGUGCUGAGACUAUGUUGCCAUCAGAGUAACGUAGAAUAUGAACAAACUAAUUAAAAUGCUAUUGACCUGCCUCUUGAUGAGCGCGGCAAAGGGGAGGCUCUUAGCGCCGCACAUUUCUCCUUCGUCUCCGCCUCACUUUUCUAGUCGGCAAGCAAGCCUGUCGGAGCCUCAAGAAGU